rnacentral:rRNA from 1 species
GCAGUCGACGAACUCUGGUAUUGAUUGGUGCUUGCAUCAUGAUUUACAUUUGAGUGAGUGGCGAACUGGUGAGUAACACGUGGGAAACCUGCCCAGAAGCGGGGGAUAACACCUGGAAACAGAUGCUAAUACCGCAUAACAACUUGGACCGCAUGGUCCGAGUUUGAAAGAUGGCUUCGGCUAUCACUUUUGGAUGGUCCCGCGGCGUAUUAGCUAGAUGGUGAGGUAACGGCUCACCAUGGCAAUGAUACGUAGCCGACCUGAGAGGGUAAUCGGCCACAUUGGGACUGAGACACGGCCCAAACUCCUACGGGAGGCAGCAGUAGGGAAUCUUCCACAAUGGACGAAAGUCUGAUGGAGCAACGCCGCGUGAGUGAAGAAGGGUUUCGGCUCGUAAAACUCUGUUGUUAAAGAAGAACAUAUCUGAGAGUAACUGUUCAGGUAUUGACGGUAUUUAACCAGAAAGCCACGGCUAACUACGUGCCAGCAGCCGCGGUAAUACGUAGGUGGCAAGCGUUGUCCGGAUUUAUUGGGCGUAAAGCGAGCGCAGGCGGUUUUUUAAGUCUGAUGUGAAAGCCUUCGGCUCAACCGAAGAAGUGCAUCGGAA